rnacentral:rRNA from 1 species
GAAUUGACGGGGACCCGCACAAGCGGUGGAGCAUGUGGUUUAAUUCGAAGCAACGCGAAGAACCUUACCAGGCCUUGACAUCCCAUUGACAGGUCCUUAACCGGACCGUUCCUUCGGGACAAUGGAGACAGGUGGUGCAUGGUUGUCGUCAGCUCGUGUCGUGAGAUGUUGGGUUAAGUCCCGCAACGAGCGCAACCCUUAUCCUUAGUAGCCAGCACGAGAGGUGGGGACUCUAGGGAGACUGCCAGGGACAACCUGGAGGAAGGCGGGGAUGACGUCAAAUCAUCAUGCCCCUUAUGGACUGGGCUACACACGUGCUACAAUGGCGGCGACAAAGGGGAGCGACCCUGUGAAGGUGAGCGAAUCCCAAAAAAGCUGUCCCAGUUCGGAUUGUAGUCUGCAACUCGACUACAUGAAGCCGGAAUCGCUAGUAAUCGCGAAUCAGCAUGUCGCGGUGAAUACGUUCCCGGGUCUUGUACACACCG